UGGGGAAUAUUGCACAAUGGGCGCAAGCCUGAUGCAGCCAUGCCGCGUGUGUGAAGAAGGCCUUCGGGUUGUAAAGCACUUUCAGCGGGGAGGAAGGCGAUAAGGUUAAUAACCUCAUCGAUUGACGUUACCCGCAGAAGAAGCACCGGCUAACUCCGUGCCAGCAGCCGCGGUAAUACGGAGGGUGCAAGCGUUAAUCGGAAUUACUGGGCGUAAAGCGCACGCAGGCGGUCUGUCAAGUCGGAUGUGAAAUCCCCGGGCUCAACCUGGGAACUGCAUUCGAAACUGGCAGGCUAGAGUCUUGUAGAGGGGGGUAGAAUUCCAGGUGUAGCGGUGACAUGCGUAGAGAUCUGGAGGAAUACCGGUGGCGAAGGCGGCCCCCUGGACAAAGACUGACGCUCUGGUGCGAAAGCGUGGGGAGCAAACAGG
rnacentral:rRNA from 1 species